CCCUCCGGGGACGCACGCUCGCAUGAGCCCUAUUUUGUGAUAAGACCACACAUUCCACAUGGUGGUCAAAAUGGUGGAAGCAGUUCGAGUCCUUCGGUGUGUUCCACUGAAGUUGACUCCUGCUCGAGGGAAGGGAGCGCUCCGCCAGAAGUCCUAACAGCUUCCAGUGCGGAGCCGGGAUGUUUCUAGAUGUUUCUAGAAGCUUUUGAUGUUUAUAGAAGUUUCAAGAUGUUUCGAAUUUGAAGUUUUAAAAUGAUGCUGUGGGAUCUGUCCCACGUCAUCUGCACUGGCCGGCUCCAACCAGGUUAGCAGUCAGCUUCCCGGGGAUAGGCGAGGUCACUCCCCGCCGCUCCAGGUCCGGUAGCAGUUUUUGAGGUCGGUCUGAUGCAUCUUUAAUUUUUAAAUUGCGUCUGCGCUCGGCUACAAAUUUAAAAUGUGAUUUAGAGCAAUAGUUAUUUUAAUUUAAAGUUUUGAAAGUUCUGGUGCAUAAAACUUAGGUAUUUCGAAAUUUAGUCUUUAGUAAUUAAUUAAUUGGUGUAAACCUUAUGACAUGAACCUGUGAAGCGACCCAGCUAUACCACUGAGCUUUUACACUAUAACUUUAGGUUAAUAAAGUUUGUUAGAUUUAAA